rnacentral:misc_RNA from 1 species
AUUAUGUUGUUAUAAUCAUGUUUAAAUCCUUUCAUAUGGUUCUGUGAUCAUUUCUGGGUAAGAUUUGCCACACUGUCUACUUGUUUUUUCAUAGGGCACCAUACUUUUUUGUAUCUAUAUAUAUAAAGAUAUAGUUUAGACUUAAAGUCAUAACAGACUUUUACGCUGUGAAAAUUUCUUGAAAAUCCUUCUAUAGCUUUUAAAUGUUAUGAUAUUCUUAUAAAUGUACAAUGUACAUAUUAGAUAUCAAAUUAAGUCGUCAUUUUGAAACUCUUAUUGUGAUGCUGAAAUUUAUGUUUUUUUCCUUCUUUCUAAUCAUGGAAGCUUUUUCUACUUGUAAUUAUGUAACCUUGUUGUUGAUUGUUUUUACCAGCAGUUGCCAUUAUACUAAUAGUUUCUUAUUGUCAUUUAAUCUUAGCAUUAACACGAAAUUUAAAAAAAAAAAGGUACAAUUCUUUUUUCAAAGGUAGGUUCACAGUCUAAGGAAAAAUACACAUACAAGUUAUGUAUUUAAUGAAGUGCCAAGUAUCUCUCCUGUUAAAAAUCAUCCUUGAUGGAAGGAUACUAAGUUCUGAUAAAUUCUUUCUGUAUAAAACUGUUUGCUAUCUGAUUACAGUAUCAUUUACCAAAGUCUUUAUGUUCCUGAACUGAGGGGUAAAUCUGUAUGCUUUAGUCUAGCAUUGUAUAUCAGAUGUUUCCAAGUUUUGAUAUGAGUGGAGCAAUGUAUAUUCAUGUACUUGUAAUUCUUGCAGUUCACAAAACAAGAUUUGAAAAAUUCAAACGCACGUUUUGCAAAUCUACACGAACACCUCUGGUGUAAUGUUUUGAUAUGGUUUUAGCUAUCAGCAGCAUAAUACACUUGUCAUGCUUCCUGAGAUACGAAAAGUGUACCAUUUCUUGUGUUUAAUUAAUUCAAACAUCAAAAGUAUUAAAUACACAAUUCAAAAAACCUUUUUACAUAGACUAUUGCAACAUAGGUCCUUCCUGAAAAAUGAGUAAAAUCUAAAUGAAUUAUUUUCUUGUAUGAACCAGUGAGGAAAAUAUGGUGUGUUUGUGUGUGUUUUUAAUUGAUGUAGGUGUCAUUUUUUGGUGCAUCUUAUCCUCGUAUCAAAUGUAAUAAUAAAAGUUAUCCAACAGAAACAGAAGCUAUUUGUACGGAAAAAGAAAAGUUUUACCUGUAUAGGUGAAAUAUGUAUUAAACAAUGGUACA